rnacentral:rRNA from 1 species
UUUGGUCGCCAACGAGUGGCGGACGGGUGAGUAACACGUAGGUAACCUGCCCAGAAGCGGGGGACAACAUUUGGAAACAGAUGCUAAUACCGCAUAACAGCGUUGUUCGCAUGAACAACGCUUAAAAGAUGGCUUCUCGCUAUCACUUCUGGAUGGACCUGCGGUGCAUUAGCUUGUUGGUGGGGUAACGGCCUACCAAGGCGAUGAUGCAUAGCCGAGUUGAGAGACUGAUCGGCCACAAUGGGACUGAGACACGGCCCAUACUCCUACGGGAGGCAGCAGUAGGGAAUCUUCCACAAUGGGCGCAAGCCUGAUGGAGCAACACCGCGUGAGUGAAGAAGGGUUUCGGCUCGUAAAGCUCUGUUGUUAAAGAAGAACACGUAUGAGAGUAACUGUUCAUACGUUGACGGUAUUUAACCAGAAAGUCACGGCUAACUACGUGCCAGCAGCCGCGGUAAUACGUAGGUGGCAAGCGUUAUCCGGAUUUAUUGGGCGUAAAGAGAGUGCAGGCGGUUUUCUAAGUCUGAUGUGAAAGCCUUCGGCUUAACCCGGAGAAGUGCAUCGGAAACUGGAUAACUUGAGUGCAGAAGAGGGUAGUGGAACUCCAUGUGUAGCGGUGGAAUGCGUAGAUAUAUGGAAGAACACCAGUGGCGAAGGCGGCUACCUGGUCUGCAACUGACGCUGAGACUCGAAAGCAUGGGUAGCGAACAGGAUUAGAUACUACCCUGGUAGUCCAUGCCGUAAACGAUGAGUGCUAGGUGUUGGAGGGUUUCCGCCCUUCAGUGCCGGAGCUAACGCAUUAAGCACUCCGCCUGGGGAGUACGACCGCAAGGUUGAAACUCAAAGGAAUUGACGGGGGCCCGCACAAGCGGUGGAGCAUGUGGUUUAAUUCGAAGCUACGCGAAGAACCUUACCAGGUCUUGACAUCUUGCGCCAACCCUAGAGAUAGGGCGUUUCCUUCGGGAACGCAAUGACAGGUGGUGCAUGGUCGUCGUCAGCUCGUGUCGUGAGAUGUUGGGUUAAGUCCCGCAACGAGCGCAACCCUUGUUACUAGUUGCCAGCAUUAAGUUGGGCACUCUAGUGAGACUGCCGGUGACAAACCGGAGGAAGGUGGGGACGACGUCAGAUCAUCAUGCCCCUUAUGACCUGGGCUACACACGUGCUACAAUGGACGGUACAACGAGUCGCGAACUCGCGAGGGCAAGCAAAUCUCUUAAAACCGUUCUCAGUUCGGACUGCAGGCUGCAACUCGCCUGCACGAAGUCGGAAUCGCUAGUAAUCGCGGAUCAGCAUGCCGCGGUGAAUACGUUCCCGGGCCUUGUACACACCGCCCGUCACACCAUGAGAGUUUGUAACACCCAAAGUCGGUGGGGUAACCUUUUAGGAGCCAGCCGCCUAAGGUGGGACAGAUGAUUAGG